AACCCAAACCCGCCGCGACUCCAUGUAGUCUUUUAAACCCUUUUCCCGGGGGAGGGGCCCUCCGAAGUCUGCUUCGGGAUUUCCCCGUUCCCCCUUCGCUGGUUACAUACCCGGAUAGGUAAGCCCGGCCAUUACCCCCUUUCGCGGGUAACUUUGUGGUGGGGUGCUUCGCGAAUUUAACCGCAAUUUAGGUGUCUCGCCACAUAGAGUGACUAGCAUUUAAGGACGGCAUCCACUUACCCUCGCGGGCUGCUUUUAAGCGCAGAGUUUGCGGUUUACGCCUGGUGGUGCCCUUCCGUCAAUUUCUUUAAGUUUCAGCCUUGCGACCAUACUCCCCCCAGAACCCAAAAACUUAUGAUUUCUCGUAAGGUGCCGAGCGAGUCAAGAUAGAAACAUCGCCCGAUCCCUAGUCGGCAUAGUUUACGGUUAAGACUACGACAGUAUCUGAUCGUCUUCUUCUU
rnacentral:rRNA from 1 species